CACUGCCUGAGGUGUGCGUUGUUGGUUACGUCCCUGAGCCGAUAUUUGAAACUCCUUGAGUUGGACUCUAAAUCGUUGGUGAGCAGGCUCGCUUGCGAGAAGCCUAAAAAUGAUUAUGUUCGACUCCCUUGAACCGUCUGGUUCAAGGACCAUUACUGAUAACGGCACUUCGGGUCUUUU
rnacentral:other from 1 species